GUCUCUGUUGCGCAAUCAGCGCGUUUGGCUGUUAACAGAAAGGCUGGUGGUCCGAGCCCAACCAGGGACU
rnacentral:tRNA from 1 species